GAAAUUUAGAAAUGAUUAAAAGCAUUUCAAACAAUUUUGGAUUGUUACUCGGUCAUUUUAGAGUAGUUUUAUAUGGUUAACCAAACUCCUGACGUCAUCAAAACCAUAGUUAAUGAGGCAAAGAAUUUUUCCAAAAUGGCGGAAAGCUAAUUAAUUUCGGUCUAAAUAUUUCGAGAACUAAGCAAGAUAUGACAAAUCGGUAACAGAGUUUAAUAUAUAAUUUUAAGAGUUCUUUUGAAUGAGACAAACUAAUUUUUUUUUGCCAAU
rnacentral:lncRNA from 1 species